UACGUAGGGUGCAAGCGUUGUCCGGAAUUAUUGGGCGUAAAGAGCUCGUAGGCGGUUUGUCGCGUCUGCUGUGAAAACCCGAGGCUCAACCUCGGGCCUGCAGUGGGUACGGGCAGACUAGAGUGUGGUAGGGGAGACUGGAAUUCCUGGUGUAGCGGUGAAAUGCGCAGAUAUCAGGAGGAACACCGAGUGGCGAAGGCA
rnacentral:rRNA from 1 species